AUUAACUGUAUCACUUGGUGUGUUUGUUUGGGUGAAAGUGAGGGGGAAGUGGAGAUGGGGGAAGUUGUUUACGCUGUAAACUAUCACUUUCGUUGUUUGUUUUGCCGUAAUUUUAUUAUGGCCGAAAGUCGAGUUCACCCAAAAUAGGGUAAUUGACUUUGCCCUUCCACGGGACAAAGUCAAUUCUGGUGAAGUGCAAAGAGGCAAGGGAACUUGUUAAAUUUAGUUAGGUAAUAUGAUCAAAUUUGGUUAGGUAAGUUUUAAUAUAUUUUUUGUCUAAUCUGUAUAUUUAGAAAAUAAUAAAAAAUAAAUUUGUUAAAUGUUAAUAAUUUUUUAACUUUAGAAUUUUAUUUGUUGCAUUAUUAUAAUUUAUAUACAAACAAAUAAUGUAAUUUUUUAAAUUUUUAUUUUAUAAUUAUACAUAUAUAUAAUUAUAUUAAUUUUUAUUUAUUAUAAUUUAUUAUUGACUAAGUUACAAAAUAGACAAUGAUAUCACUUCGGAGGUAAGUAUACCAGGGGUGGAGAACUAUAUUUUUUACGUCAUCUACUUCCUACCAAACAAACAACAGAACUUGCAGAACUGCACUUCCACAGUUAGAAACAAACAGCGGAAGUAAAUUAAUUUUCACUCCAACUCCACUUCAAUCUAAAGUCCACUUCCACCCCAAAUCUACUUACGUUGAAACAAACAAGCCCUAAUAGUCGAUCGAAUUUACAAGAGCCACCAACUAGCUAGCGUACACCAUAGUAUUAAUCAAAAUAGUCAAAAAUAUAUCUUUAAAGGCUCCGUUUGGUUCGGGGGAUAAGUGGGGAUAACGAAAGUUAUCCCCACUAUUCUGUCAAACGGGCUGAUUGUUUACCGAGAUAUUUUAUCCUGGUCAAACUUUGCUAUUCCCGAUUAUUUCGAAAUAGCAAGGGAUUUGCUAUUCCACUAUUUGGUGGAAUAGUGCUAUUCCAAUGCUUAAUUUCAUACUUAAUUAAAAUAAUAAAUUGAAUUAAAACUAAAUUAUAUAAAUAUUAUAUGUUAUAUAUUAUAAUACAUUAUUUUUAUUAUAAAAUUAUUAAUUGUACUAUAUUAAUACAUAUUAUUUAUAUUUAAAUAUUAUAAUAAAUUUUUUUUAUUAAAUUUAAGUUUAAGUAGAAUUUUUAAAAAAAUUAUACAUUUAUUAUAAUAAAUUAAUUUUAUUAAUUGUUCCCACUCCUAUUCUUAUUUUAAAAAAUUAAAAAUUAAAAAUUUAAAUUUUUAAAAUUUAUAAUUUAUAAUCUCAAAAUUAAAGUUUAUAAUUGUAAGGAAGUGAAUUCUCGAAAUCCGAGAGUUCUAUUUCGUCCAGGAUCGACUAUUUGUUGAGAGAAUACCUUUUAGGAAAGUUAGAGAUGUCCAAAGCACAAAGAGUGCCUUGGAGUUGAGUCCACGAGAGCAAAUGGNUUAUCCUUUUUAUUCCAUCUUAUCUAACCAAACGCUAUUUUUUUUAUUCCCAGAAAUAAUCCAAUUUUUAUCAAAUGCAAAAUUGAUCUAAUCCCUGCUUAUAGCUCAAUUUAUACAUAUUCCUGGAAUAGUCAUUUUUUGCUUAUCUCCGAAACAAACGAUACCAAAGAGUUUACUCUAACAC
rnacentral:lncRNA from 1 species